AGAAUUACAAAUCUUGACAAUAAAGUAAUAUGACAUUCACCAAGACCAAGACAUUCAAAUAGACCGUUAGAAACCUGUGGGACGAGUUUCCUUUCGACAUCCUUGGGCAUGCAGUUGGGGCUAGAGGGGCCGUCUGGUGGUGGACAAUCUGCGAGCGUAUUUGCAGAUAAUCGAUACUCACUCUGUGGGAGUUUCCUCGAUCAAUGCUGCUCUGGUCCAGGCUACUAAAGAAGCCACGCAGCAAAUGGCGGGGUUGUUUAUGAUGAAGAAGAAGGAGGAGGAAAGGAACAAGUUGAUCCGACUAUCAUCACCUUCAAUCUGCAGCAAAAAUGAGUCAUCCUCUUAUCCUUAAAGCCCUUGACAGAGACACCCAAAGCUCUACUAAGACCUUCAAUUCUCCUCCAAAUAGAAUCAUUUGCUACUACUGGGUCUGGUUAUAGUCUCAAAAUCAAUAGCAGUAAAGCAAAGCUUUGCUUCAUAACUGAUCCACAGAAUUGGAUCAGUUUCAAUUAUAUCGCCACUUGAAUGGACAGCAGAUGCUUGGGUUCAGAAUCGGGUGGAAUUCUGAAAGCUAGUGUAUGGUGAUAGUUGCAAUCCUCUCCAUGUCUCUUUUCAUAAAAUUGGUGAAAAUGGCUUUGAAUUUGUCAUGAGUGAAAUCAAAAGGGUGCCGCUAUAGAGGGUCAUAAGUGUUGCGCCAGCAAAAGCAGCAAGAGUUCCUCCUAUCUUUGCUUGAGAACCACGCUUAGAAAUCUCUACCUUCUCCAUGCUGAAUACAACAAGGUUUAGUUCCCAUUGACAUACAAUGGCAUCCGAUAUCCUUUUAAACUGGAAUCAGUGGCUGUCGAGAAGCAAGAUAUUUUGUUUGAUCAUUUCUCAACAAUACAUCAACAUCGAAUUCCACUUGAAACAGAUUCCUAUGAUUCAAAUGGAUUCCUGGUACAGAUAAGAUCAUGCCCACUAAGGAUGACACGAUUUCCACCCAUGGGCACUGGGGCUCAGGCUGGCACUCGCAGUGAUGAACCCCCUCGCUAUACUAGCCAGUACUUUGUCCACAGAAAAGCCAUGAUAAUGAAAAUGAUUUCGUGAUUGUGAGGCCCCAUCCACCAUGAAAACUGAGUUGAUUGCCUUGGAGAAAGCUUUCUGCAUCCAAUUCCAAGUGGAUAGAUGAGGGGUGGCCUGUUUAUGGUGGAGGAGAGACGUAGAUCGAUCAUGGAAAAUGGACGGAAGGAAAAUAUUAAUGAAUAUAAAUUAAUAUUUUUAAUCAACUGGAUGAGUAGUUGAGUGUCUUUUAAUACUGCUUUCAGGUGUUCGUUUGGAUUUGAGUAAAUUUGGAUUAAUUUUAGUAUAAAUUUACGGACUAUUAAAACUACAAGGUUUAUAUAUUAAAUCCAUGCAAGCUAAUUAUA